rnacentral:misc_RNA from 1 species
ACGAAAUCCAAAUUCAGUGUAUGUAUGUGUGUGUAAAUAGGGGUGUGCAUUCGAUCAGUCUGGCUCCAAACAAAAAAAAGGGAUGAAUUAUCAGAAAUAUAAAAACCAAAUCAAACCAAAUUAAUUUAAUAAAGGAACCGAAUCGAACUGAACCAAACCAAAAUAGUUGAUUUGGCUUGGUUCGGUAAUUCAGACUCCUCCCUGCCUGUGCUGCUGUCAACUG